UGGGGAAUUUUGGACAAUGGGGGAAACCCUGAUCCAGCCAUCCCGCGUGUGCGAUGAAGGCCUUCGGGUUGUAAAGCACUUUUGGCAGGAAAGAAACGUCAUGGGUUAAUACCCCGUGAAACUGACGGUACCUGCAGGAUAAGCACCGGCUAACUACGUGCCAGCAGCCGCGGUAAUACGUAGGGUGCAAGCGUUAAUCGGAAUUACUGGGCGUAAAGCGUGCGCAGGCGGUUCGGAAGGAAAGAUGUGAAAUCCCAGAGCUUAACUUUGGAACUGCAUUUUUAACUACCGGGCUAGAGUGUGUCAGAGGGAGGUGGAAUUCCGCGUGUAGCAGUGAAAUGCGUAGAUAUGCGGAGGAACACCGAUGGCGAAGGCAGCCUCCUGGGAUAACACUGACGCUCAUGCACGAAAGCGUGGGGAGCAAACA
rnacentral:rRNA from 1 species